UGCAUCGUAGGCAGGAGGAGGCUCGGCCCGAUCCUCCCACCCUUUGUGUACCUACCUCUGUUGCUUUGGCGGGCCGCGGUCCUCCGCGGCCGCCCCCUCCCCGGGGGUGGCCAGCGCCCGCCAGAGGACCAUCAAACUCCAGUCAGUAAACGAUGCAGUCUGAAAAAUAUUCAAUAAACUAAAACUUUCAACAACGGAUCUCUUGGUUCUGGCAUCGAUGAAGAACGCAGCGAAAUGCGAUAAGUAAUGUGAAUUGCAGAAUUCAGUGAAUCAUCGAAUCUUUGAACGCACAUUGCGCCCUUUGGUAUUCCGAAGGGCAUGCCUGUUCGAGCGUCAUUACAACCCUCAAGCUCUGCUUGGUAUUGGGCACCGUCCUUUGCGGGCGCGCCUCAAAGACCUCGGCGGUGGCGUCUUGCCUCAAGCGUAGUAGAACAUACAUCUCGCUUCGGAGCGCAGGGCGUCGCCCGCCGGACGAACCUUCUGAACUUUUCUCAAGGUUGACCUCGGAUCAGGUAGGGAUACCCGCUGAACUUAAGCAUAUCAAUAAGCGGAGGA
rnacentral:rRNA from 1 species